rnacentral:rRNA from 1 species
GGACCCGCACAAGCAGCGGAGCGUGUGGUUUAAUUCGAGGCUACGCGCAGAACCUUACCAGGGAUUGACAUGACUGUGGUAGUGAAGCGAAAGCGGAACGACCCUUCGGGGAGCAGUCACAGGUGAUGCAUGGCUGUCGUCAGCUCGUGCCGUGAGGUGUUUGGUUAAGUCCACUAACGAGCGCAACCCCUAGCCUCGGUUACACGUGUCUGAGGCGACUGCCGGUAUUAAGCCGGAGGAAGGUGGGGAUGACGUCAAGUCCGCAUGUCCUUUAUAUCCUGGGCUACACACACGCUACAAUGGCCAGUACAGUGGGUCGCGAAGCCGCGAGGCGGAGCCAAUCCUAAAAAGCUGGUCUCAGUUCGGAUUGCAGGCUGCAACCCGCCUGCAUGAAGUCGGAGUUGCUAGUAACCGCAGGACAGCUAUACUGCGGUGAAUACGUUCCCGGGUCUU